AGGGUGUAAACGCUGCAGACUUGGUGUUGGGAACCCUCCGGGGUGGCUCAGUGCCGGAGAGAAGUUGUUAAGUCUGCUACUUGGGAGGUACGUCCGCAAGGAUGAAACUUAAAGGAAUUGGCGGGGGGAGGCACCGCAACGGGUGGAGCGUGCGGCUUAAUUGGAUUCAACACCGGAAACUCACCAGGGAGACUGUUACAUGAAACCCAGACUAAUGAUCUUGGUUGAUUUUCAGAGAGGUGGUGCAUGGCGUCAGUGACU
rnacentral:rRNA from 1 species